GUCGCUACUACCGAUUGAAUGCUUAGUGAGAUCUCCGGAUUGGCUUUGGGAAGCUGGCAACGGCUACCCAUUGCUGAGAAGCUGAUCAAACUUGGUCAUUUAGAGGAAGUAAAAGUCGUAACAAGGUUUCU
rnacentral:rRNA from 1 species